AUUGAACGCUGGCGGCAGGCUUAACACAUGCAAGUCGAGCGGAGAGAGGUAGCUUGCUACUGAUCUUAGCGGCGGACGGGUGAGUAAUGCUUAGGAAUCUGCCUAUUAGUGGGGGACAACAUUUCGAAAGGAAUGCUAAUACCGCAUACGUCCUACGGGAGAAAGCGGGGGAUCUUCGGACCUUGCGCUAAUAGAUGAGCCUAAGUCGGAUUAGCUAGUUGGUGGGGUAAAGGCCUACCAAGGCGACGAUCUGUAGCGGGUCUGAGAGGAUGGUCCGCAACACUGGGACUGAGACACGGCCCAGACUCCUACGGGAGGCAGCAGUGGGGAAUAUUGGACAAUGGGCGGAAGCCUGAUCCAGCCGUGCCGCGUGUGUGAAGAAGGCCUUAUGGUUGUAAAGCACUUUAAGCGAGGAGGAGGCUACUUUAGUUAAUACCUAGAGAUAGUGGACGUUACUCGCAGAAUAAGCACCGGCUAACUCUGUGCCAGCAGCCGCGGUAAUAC
rnacentral:rRNA from 1 species